UACGUAGGGUGCGAGCGUUUGUCCGGAAUUAUUGGGGCGUAAAGGGCUCGUAGGCGGUUUGUCGCGUCGGGAGUGAAAACACCGGGCUUAACUCGGUGCUUGCUUUCGAUACGGGCAGACUAGAGGUAUGCAGGGGAGAACGGAAUUCCUGGUGUAGCGGUGAAAUGCGCAGAUAUCAGGAGGAACACCGGUGGCGAAGGCGGUUCUCUGGGCAUUACCUGACGCUGAGGAGCGAAAGUGUGGGGAGCGAACAGG
rnacentral:rRNA from 1 species